GGGUUGUGAGGUUAAGUGACUAAGCGUACACGGUGGAUGCCUAGGCAGUCAGAGGCGAUGAAGGGCGUGCUAAUCUGCGAAAAGCGUCGGUAAGGUGAUAUGAACCGUUACAACCGGCGAUACCCGAAUGGGGAAACCCAGUGUGUUUCGACACACUAUCAUGUCAUGAAUACAUAGUGGCAUGAGGCGAACCGGGGGAACUGAAACAUCUAAGUACCCCGAGGAAAAGAAUCAACCGAGAUUCCCCAGUAGCGGCGAGCGAACGGGGAGGAGCCCAGAACCUGAAUCGGCUUGUGUGUUAGUGGAGCGUCUGGAAAGUCGCGCAGCAAAGGGUGAUAGCCCCGUACACUAAAAUGCACAGGUCGUGAGUUCGAUGAGUAGGGCGGGACACGUGACAUCCUGUCUGAAUAUGGGGGGACCAUCCUCCAAGGCUAAAUACUCCUGACUGACCGAUAGUGAACCAGUACCGUGAGGGAAAGGCGAAAAGAACCCGGCGAGGGGAGUGAAAUAGAACCUGAAACCGUGUAC
rnacentral:rRNA from 1 species